CACGUAGGAGGCGAACGUUAUCCGGAUUUACUGGGCGUAAAGCGCGUGUAGGUGGUUUGGUAAGUAGGGCGUGAAAGCUCCUGGCUCAACUGGGAGAGGCCGUUCUAAACUGCCGAACUAGAGGAUGGUAGAGGGAGGUGGAAUUCCGGGUGUAGCGGUGGAAUGCGCAGAUAUCCGGAGGAACACCAGUGGCGAAAGCGGCCUCCUGGACCAUUCCUGACACUCAGACGCGAAAGCUAGGGUAGCAAACGGG
rnacentral:rRNA from 3 species